GGAUGGGAGCGGCUGGUCGCCCCGUAUCAGGGGAGGAAAGUCCGGACUCCGCAGGGCAGGAUGCCCCAGCAAGGCGGAAGGCCAAGCUGGGGGGCCCAUCGCCAUACCGAUGGGUACGGAAAGUGCCACAGAAAACAGACCGCUCCGGAGAUUAUCCGGAGUAAGGGUGAAAAGGUGGUGUAAGAGACCACCG
rnacentral:RNase_P_RNA from 1 species